AUUGAACGCUGGCGGCAGGCCUAACACAUGCAAGUCGAACGGUAACAGGAAGAAGCUUGCUUCUUUGCUGACGAGUGGCGGACGGGUGAGUAAUGUCUGGGAAACUGCCUGAUGGAGGGGGAUAACUACUGGAAACGGUAGCUAAUACCGCAUAACGUCGCAAGACCAAAGAGGGGGACCUUCGGGCCGCUUGCCAUCGGAUGUGCCCAGGUGGGAUUGGCUAGUGGGGGGGGUAACGGCUCACCUAGGCGACGAUCCCUAGCUGGUCUGAGAGGAUGACCAGCCACACUGGAACUGAGACACGGUCCAGACUCCUACGGGAGGCAGCAGUGGGGAAUAUUGCACAAUGGGCGCAAGCCUGAUGCAGCCAUGCCGCGUGUAUGAAGAAGGCCUUCGGGUUGUAAAGUACUUUCAGCGGGGAGGAAGGGAGUAAAGUUAAUACCUUUGCUCAUUGACGUUACCCGCAGAAGAAGCACCGGCUAACUCCGUG
rnacentral:rRNA from 1 species